GACGAACGCUGGCGGCGUGCUUAACACAUGCAAGUCGAACGGAAAGGCCUCUUUCGGGGGGUACUCGAGUGGCGAACGGGUGAGUAACACGUGAGUAACCUGCCCUUGACUUUGGGAUAACUUCAGGAAACUGGGGCUAAUACCGGAUAGGAGCUCCUGCUGCAUGGUGGGGGUUGGAAAGUUUCGGCGGUUGGGGAUGGACUCGCGGCUUAUCAGCUUGUUGGUGGGGUAGUGGCUUACCAAGGCUUUGACGGGUAGCCGGCCUGAGAGGGUGACCGGCCACAUUGGGACUGAGAUACGGCCCAGACUCCUACGGGAGGCAGCAGUGGGGAAUAUUGCACAAUGGGUGGAAGCCUGAUGCAGCAACGCCGGGUGCGGGACGACGGCCUUCGGGUUGUAAACCGCUUUCGCUCAUGACGAAGCUUUGUGUGACGGUAGUGGGUAAAGAAGCACCGGCUAACUACGUG
rnacentral:rRNA from 1 species